rnacentral:rRNA from 1 species
AGGACGAACGCUGGCGGCGUGCUUAACACAUGCAAGUCGAACGGGCACUUCGGUGUCAGUGGCGAACGGGUGAGUAAAGCGCAGGUAAUCUGCCGCAAAGUCGGGGACAACGUUCCGAAAGGGACGCUAAUACCGGAUGUUGUAGAUGAUUCGCAUGAGUUAUCUACCAAAGAUUUAUCGCUUUGCGAGGAGCCUGCGUCCGAUUAGGUAGUUGGUGGGGUAAGAGCCUACCAAGCCGACGAUCGGUAGCCGGUCUGAGAGGAUGAACGGCCACAAUGGAACUGAGACACGGUCCAUACUCCUACGGGAGGCAGCAGUGGGGAAUAUUCCACAAUGGGGGAAACCCUGAUGGAGCCGACGCCGCGUGAGUGAAGAAGGGCUUCGGCUCGUAAAGCUCUUUUCUCGUCGACGAAUUAGCCUUCGGGGCAGUUGACGGUAGACGGGGAAUAAGCCACGGCUAACUACGUGCCAGCCGCCGC